UACGUAGGGUGCAAGCGUUGUCCGGAAUUAUUGGGCGUAAAGGGCUCGUAGGCGGCGUGUCGCGUCGGGAGUGAAAGCCCGCUGCUUAACGGCGGGUUGGCUUCCGGUACGGGCAUGCUGGAGUGCGGCAGGGGAGACUGGAAUUCCUGGUGUAGCGGUGGAAUGCGCAGAUAUCAGGAGGAACACCGGUGGCGAAGGCGGGUCUCUGGGCCGUUACUGACGCUGGAGGAGCGAAAGCGUGGGGAGCGAACAGG
rnacentral:rRNA from 1 species